rnacentral:rRNA from 1 species
UACAGAGGUCUCAAGCGUUGUUCGGAUUCAUUGGGCGUAAAGGGUGCGUAGGCGGCGCGGUAAGUCGGGUGUGAAAUCUCGGAGCUUAACUCCGAAACUGCAUUCGAUACUGCCGUGCUUGAGGACUGGAGAGGAGACUGGAAUUUACGGUGUAGCGGUGAAAUGCGUAGAUAUCGUAAGGAAGACCAGUGGCGAAGGCGGGUCUCUGGACAGUGCCUGACGCUGCGGCACGAAGGCCAGGGGAGCAAACGGG